rnacentral:lncRNA from 1 species
UUUGGUUAAGUCCAUCUUAAUAAAGUGAUUAAGUUUGAAAACGUUUGCUUAGCGGAAGUCUUACUUGUAAUCGUGUUAUUUUGAAAUCACUUAAUGUUUUUGAAAACGAACCCUAGAUCUAGCCCAUUUUGAUAGUUAAUAUAAUUUAAGAUCAUCAUGAUAAAUUAUAGAUCAAAACCCAAAUAAAAAUAAUCAUAAGCGGC